rnacentral:rRNA from 1 species
CGGCGGACGGGUGAGUAACACGUGGAUAACCUACCCAUAAGACUGGGAUAACUUCGGGAAACCGGAGCUAAUACCGGAUAAUAUAUUGAACCGCAUGGUUCAAUAGUGAAAGACGGUUUUGCUGUCACUUAUAGAUGGAUCCGCGCCGCAUUAGCUAGUUGGUAAGGUAACGGCUUACCAAGGCAACGAUGCGUAGCCGACCUGAGAGGGUGAUCGGCCACACUGGAACUGAGACACGGUCCAG